rnacentral:lncRNA from 1 species
CGGUCCCCUUAUUUGGAUCUGCGGGAAUGUGGGCUGGAGUGGUCCUGCCACGGUACCAGUCUCCAGCCCGCCGUCGGGACUGCCCCUGACCCAGGCGCGCCCGCUGCUCGGUGGCAGGAGGGCCGGCGGAGCGCCAUGGCCUGCAUCCUGAAGGAUGGUUUGAAUCACCUACUGCUCUUCUACCUGAAUCAUCUUCCAACAUGGCUUGGUGUUAAUGAUGCAAUUAAGAAAGUAACCUAGUAGAGUUUGUGUCCCUUUCUUGGAAGUAAAGGAGAUCAAACAUUUCCUGUGACUUUUCUGAACUUCCUCUGUUUGUUUCAGAAC